UACGAAGGGGGCUAGCGUUGCUCGGAAUCACUGGGCGUAAAGGGUGCGUAGGCGGGUCUUUAAGUCAGGGGUGAAAUCCUGGAGCUCAACUCCAGAACUGCCUUUGAUACUGAGGAUCUUGAGUUCGGGAGAGGUGAGUGGAACUGGCGAGUGUAGAGGUGAAAAUUCGUAGAUAUUCGCAAGAACACCAGUGGCGAAGGCAGCUCACUGG
rnacentral:rRNA from 1 species